AAAAGCUUGGAUUUCCUAGAGAAAAUCCCAGCCUUCACAAUGGAUGGUAGAAUACUGGAUGGGAUCUGAACCCAAAAAAGAGAACGGUUUUACUAUUGUCAGUCUACUAGGCUGACGAUAAACAUACUAGAAGACAAGAAAAAUACGUAUUUUUAUGUACUUUUUAAAUCUUUUAAUAUAUAUUCACAACAUCACUAUUGUUAACCCAUUGGGUUGAUUUUAGAAAUUUCCAAAAGGGAAACCCAGCUGUUCGACGUUUUCAGGUUUCCCCUGGUAAUGAUGCAUCAUUGAAAAACGAAUGGGUUUCCCUGGUAAUCUGCUCUCUCUCUCUCUCUCUCUCUCUCUCUCUCUCUCUCUCUCGAAUCUACACUGCUCCAUUUCUCUCUCUCUCUCUUGGAUUUACUCCGACGAAAUCCACCCCUCUCAUAGUGUCACCGGCGACGAAAUCCACCGUAGUCUCGAAUCUCCUCCAAGGUCUCGACGUCAAGAACCACAAUGAAAAGUUGCGUGGAAGCUAAGAUCAUGUGAAUUUGUUGGUUCACAAAAGAUUCCUUCUCCCACUUUUAGAAGACUCAGAAAGAAACUAGAGGAAUAUGAGGCAUUCUAGCGAAGGAGCUAUUACGGAACGUUAUUCUCAAAGUCCAUAGCCUUGCCAAGGAAGUUCACUCUUCAUUGUUGAUAGAUGCUAAAUCCCUGUGCUGUUGACCUUGCCAAACAACUUUAAGUAGAAUUCUUCAUUCUUUUUUGUAAUACUUCGAUUAUAGGGGCUAAAUCCCUUUGUUGAGGCAUACUAAUUGUUGAUAGAGGCUAAAUCCCUAUGCUGAGGUUUCUUUUGCUAACAUUGAGCUAGGCUCACAUUUAUUUGCACCUUCUAACUCAUUCAUUCCUUGAUCUACAUGCAUGUAAUAGUUAGAUUGGUUUUGAGUAUAAUCAUAUGUUUGGCUAUAUGAAAAUUGAAGUGAAAACAAUUUGUCUUGCUACAGUUUGUUGUCUGGUUUCUAGCACUUACGAGUAAUAGUGUCACAAAUCACAUGUACCUGAGACUAAUCAGGAAGCAAUACAUUUCGUAGGUGGGAAAUCACCAAAUCACUUUGGUUUUGAUAGCUAAUUUCUUUGUACCUAGUUAACUUUAUACUUGGUAUUUACUUGAAUUCCAGCUAGGUAAUUCUCUUAAGUAAUUCUCUCUCGUGCUAUCAAUAAGUGGAUCACAUACCACACACUAAUGAAACGGGGUGGGUAGUGCUGUAGGUAGGGGCAAUUCGCUAGUAUAAUCUUGUUUCUAUAGUGAUUUAUAUAAAGUUCGCAUAUCAUUAAUUCAUGGUAUAUUCAUGUUCAAAACCGAUUCAUGUUUAGUAGUCAUGCAAAAUUAGUUCAUAAUUCUUGGAAAUUUUCAUAGUGAUUUCCUAUAAACUUACCUACCAUUAUUUUGAAGUUGAAUUACAUCGAUAGUUAUGGUACAUUGUUCCAGCAUUCAUGGUAAAUUUAAAAUACGGAUCAAACUUGAAUUCAUGAUAUAUUGAUCAAAGCAUAUUUCAUGGUUACCAAGAACAUACAAUAAACAUGGCAAAUAUAGUACAUUGCAAAUUGAAAACACGAUAAAUUUAUUACAAUGAAUAUUUCAUGGUUACCCGGAACAUAUAGUGAACAUGGCAAAUUUAGUACACUGUAAAUUGGAAACAUGAUAAAUUUAUUACAAUGAAUAUGAUUCUUAUGAAAUUAGCAUUGUAAACUGAGAAUUUGAAAAAAAUGAUAAAUUAUAUAUAUAUAUAUAUAUAUAGAUGGUAACUCUUAUACUCAAUACACAGACCAAUCCACCGGCAUAAUUCUGAUUCUCUUUGUCUCGACCUAGCUUCCCGUUUGACCUUGGUGGGUGUAGCUCCUGCAAAUUAAACAACGUACUCAAGUACAGUAUUUUUAUUAUGAAUUAUUUAUGAAAAUUAAACAUAAAAAUUGAGGCUCAACAAUGACAACCAUUUCAUGACUAAUUUCUCUAAAUCUACCAUGUUUAUGAUGAAUUAGUUAUUCAAAUUAAAUAUGAAAAAUGAGGCUCAAUAAUGACAACCAUUUCACGAGUAAUUUUUGCAAAUCUACCAUAUAUUAUCAUGACAUAUUUCGGCACAAAAUCAUUCAAACCACGUAUUUAAACUGACCAUGUUUAGCAUGAAUUAUUUCUCCCAAUUUACUAUGACAACUGAGGCACCACAAUGUUUACCAAUCAACUCACGUGUUAAGAUAAACUUCUACCUCCUGCAAUGCAUUUAUAGAGAGGACGGCGAUGGGGGACGGAAGGAGACAGUGAUGGGUGAUGGAGGGCAGCGGUGGAGAGGAUGACGGUGGGAUGGUGACUGAUUUUCAAUUAAAGAGAGAUUGUUAGGUUUUUAAAUAUUAUGUAGGAGAUAAUGGAAAGGGCUUAAAAUAAGGAUUGUUAUUUGUGUAUAUCCAUAAAUAAUGGUGGAGGACUUACAUGUUUAUAGGUAACAUAUAUUAAGGGCAAAAUUGGGAUAAUAAAAACUUGAGGAUGAAAACAUCACCCUAAAAAGUAGAUGGGAUGAAA